rnacentral:rRNA from 1 species
UACGUAGGGGGCAAGCGUUGUCCGGAUUUAUUGGGCGUAAAGCGCACGCAGGCGGUCUUUUACGUUUUGAGUGACAGGUGGUGGCUUAACUGCCACAGGCCUCGAAAUACGGGAAGACUUGAGGGCUUGAGAGGGAUACGGAAUUCCAGGUGGAGCGGUGAAAUGCGUAGAGAUCUGGAAGAACACCAAAGGCGAAGGCAGUAUCCUGGCAAGUCACUGACGCUCAGGUGCGAAAGCUAGGGGAGCGAACGGGA